rnacentral:RNase_P_RNA from 1 species
AGAGUCGGCUGGGCAGUCGCUGUUUUAUCGUCAAGAUAAAAUGGAGGAAAGUCCGGGCUCCAUUGGGCAGGGUGCCAGGUAACGCCUGGGAGGCGCGAGCCUACGGAAAGUGCCGCAGAAAAUAUACCGCCUGUCACUUAUGGCAGGUAAGGGUGAAAAGGUGCGGUAAGAGCGCACCGCGCAACUGGUAACAGAAGUGGCAUGGUAAACCCCACCCGGAGCAAGAUCAAAUA